rnacentral:rRNA from 1 species
AUUGAACGCUGGCGGCAUGCCUUACACAUGCAAGUCGAACGGCAGCACGGGCUUCGGCCUGGUGGCGAGUGGCGAACGGGUGAGUAAUACAUCGGAACGUGCCCUGUUGGGGGGGAUAACUAGUCGAAAGAUUAGCUAAUACCGCAUACGACCUGAGGGUGAAAGCGGGGGACCGGUAACGGCCUCGCGCGAUAGGAGCGGCCGAUGUCUGAUUAGCUAGUUGGUGGGGUAAGAGCCCACGAAGGCGACGAUCAGUAGCUGGUCUGAGAGGACGAUCAGCCGCACUGGGGCUGGGACACGGCCCAGACUCCUACGGGAGGCAGGAGUGGGGAAUGUUGGACAAUGGGGGCAACCCUGAUCCAGCAAUGCCGCGUGUGUGAAGAAGGCCUUCGGGUUGUAAAGCACUUUUGUCCGGAAAGAAAUCGCGCUGGUUAAUACCUGGCGUGGAUGACGGUACCGGAAGAAUAAGCACCGGCUAACUACGUGCCAGCCGCCGCAGUAACAC